CCUACGGGUGGCAGCAGUGGGGGAUAUUGCACAAUGGGGGGAACCCUGAUGCAGCGACGCCGCGUGGGUGAAGGAGUGCUUCGGCAUGUAAAGCCCUAUCGGCAGGGAAGAAGCAAGACGGUACCUGACUAAGAAGCCCCGGCUAACUACGUGCCAGCAGCCGCGGGACUACGUAGGGGGCGAGCGUUAUCCGGAUUCACUGGGUGUAAAGGGAGCGUAGACGGCAAUGCAAGCCAGGGGGGAAAGCGCGGGGGCCAACCCCGGGACUGCCGUUGGAACUGCAUGGCUGGAGUGCGGGAGGGGCAGGCGGAAUGCGUGGUGUAGAGGUGAAAUGCAUAGAUAUCAGGAGGAACACCGGCGGCGAAGGCGGCCUGUUGGACCGCGACUGACGUUGAGGCUCGAAAGCGUGGGGAGCGAACAGGAUUAGAUACCCGGGUAGUC
rnacentral:rRNA from 1 species